rnacentral:lncRNA from 1 species
GUCCCUCUACAACUGAAAAAAAUAUGAAAAGAAAAGAAUGUAAAUUAAGUUCCUUUUUGCUUGAAGUAGGCUUCGCUACUAAUUAUACUUUCUAGUUGAGGUUUUUGCGAUUAAUUUCUAGAUCCAACAAUCGGAGACCAACUCCCUGCAACUGUGCCCUGUUUUUCUCCUUCACCUGCCUGGUCCCUCUUCCCUCUGCUUUCUUCCCCUAGCCUGAUGUCACUGGACAUCAGGAUGAUGUCACUGGACAGCGGGAGGAGUAAAACCCACCAUCGUGAGUCCAGGGUCACCUCGGUCAGUCAUCACUGUGUCCUGUGAACUCCUGCCAUCAUAAUGGGUGAACACAUCCUGAUCACAGGCAGAGUGGCCCAGGGGGAGCAGGGAGUCUGGUGGAGGGGAAGUGGCUCUGUCCAUGGCUGUACCCCUGACUCACUGUGUAAACUUAGAUUCACUGUUUAGCCACUAGGUUUUUUUUUUUUUUAAAUCCCUUUGUUCUGAAUUAUACAUAUUCCCUAUAAAUCUAGAAUGCAAUUUCCAAAGAAUUAUAGCAUCUUUGUCUUGGCAGAUGUCUUGGGAGGGUUUAGGAAACCCUGUG